GUGUGACAGUCAGUCUUCAAAAUCCGGUCGGUGCGAAGGUUUUGGAGGGUUCGA
rnacentral:tRNA from 14 species